GCAGACCUGCAUUCCCAGCUGCCCUGGAGGCUGAGGCAGCAGGAUCGCUGGAACCCAGGAGCUCUGGACUGCAGUGCAUUAUUCCAGUCAGUUGUCUGCUGUAAGCUCAGCAUCAAUAUGUUGACCUCCCAGAAUCAGGAGACCACUAGAUUCCCUCAGGAGGGGUGAACCAGCCUCCGUUGGAAAUGAACAGGUCAAAAUUCCUGUGCUGAUCAGUAGUGGAACAGCAUCUGUGAGUAGCCACUGCAGUCCACCCUGGGCAACAUAAGGCUAACCCUGUCUGUA
ensembl:misc_RNA Metazoa_SRP Metazoan signal recognition particle RNA